rnacentral:lncRNA from 1 species
AUCUGUUGUCAGCAAGCUGUAGACCUUAGAGAACUAACUGCAUUUCCAAUGCGAAGACCAAAGUCCCAAGAGCAGCAUGAAGUUUUCAUUCAAUUCUGAAGGUGGCCAGGUUAAGAUGCUGAUCGCUCUAAAAGACAAGAUCUGACAAUUUGGAGAACUCAAGCCACAAGCCCAUCAUCAUCAUCAUCAUCAUCGGCUCCCCUCCCCGCACCAUCUUGGCAGCUGGCAUGGCAUGUGAAGAACGUUGAGCCUGGGAAAGCACAGUCUGUCUUCGGAGACCUUCUGGGACAACAGAGGUCACUCCUUAGCUGCUUUGUAUCCAACUGUUUCCUGUCAUCAUUCAUACAUUUGGAACAGAUAUUGGCAAAGCAAAGGUUGACUUGGGCUGUGAAGCAGAUAGAACUAGAAAGGGACCUCCCGUGACCCCGUCGGGGAUCCAGCUGGACUCUGGCAAAGUCCCUGGAAUCCAUGGACCCUUCUUCACGGGAAAUGCUAAUUCUACUCUGCUAGGCCACUCUCCAGAGAUAUUCCUCUCAAGUAUCAACAGUGACCAUUGCACUAACACUAGGCCAAAGGCCCUACGCUGCCUGGAAUAUUUAUUUACACCGCUUAU